ACAUAUCACUGAGCGCAGGAGAAGAAACUAACCAGGAUUUCCCUAGUAACGGCGAGCGAACCGGAAAGAGCCCAGCUUGAAAAUCGUGGCGCCCCGGCGCCUCGAAUUGUAGUCUGGAGAAGGUCCCUCUGCGGCGCGCCGGAUUCAAGUUCCCUGGAAUGGGACGUCCGAGAGGGUGAGAACCCCGUCGUAUCCGGAGUGCGUCGCUCCACGAGGACCUGUCUGCGAGUCGGGCUGUUUGGGAAUGCAGCCCUAAGCGGGUGGUAAAUUCCAUCCAAGGCUAAAUAUUGGCAAGAGACCGAUAGCGAACAAGUACCGCGAGGGAAAGAUGAAAAGGACUUUGAAAAGAGAGUUAAAAAGUGCUUGAAAUUGCUGGGAGGGAAGCGAAUGGAAGCUGCGGGUGCGCCCCGGUUGGAUGUGGAACGGCCGUCAAACGCUGGUCCGCCGCUCAACGCGGGGCGCUGGUCAGCGUGGGCCAUCGCGGCGGGACAAGAGCGGGGAUUCGCUUCCCGCCGAUGCCGCUGCGGUGGCCGAGGAACGAAGCGCGCGCCUUCCGGCGUGGGACUCGUCCCAACUGCGCGCUCGAGACGCUGGCGUAUUGAGCUCUUCAUCCGACCCGUCUUGAAACACGGACCAAGGAGUCUAACAUGUAUGCGAGCCGGUGGGCGGCAAACCCAUUGAGGCGCAAGUAACCUGACAGGUGGGACCCCGCUUGCGGGAGCACCAUCGACCGACCGUGAUCUUCUGUGAAGGGUUC
rnacentral:rRNA from 1 species